AAGACCUUGCGCUUUUGGAGCGGCCGAUGCCUGAUUAGCUUGUUGGUAAGGUAAAAGCUUACCAAGGCUUCGAUCAGUAGCUGGUCUGAGAGGACGACCAGCCACACUGGGACUGAGACACGGCCCAGACUCCUACGGGAGGCAGCAGUGGGGAAUUUUGGACAAUGGGGGCAACCCUGAUCCAGCCAUGCCGCGUGAGUGAAGAAGGCCUUCGGGUUGUAAAGCUCUUUCAGCCGGAACGAAACGGUUACGGAUAACACCCGUGACUACUGACGGUACCGGAUGAAGAAGCACCGGCUAACUACGUGCCAGCAGCCGCGGUAAUACGUAGGGUGCGAGCGUUAAUCGGAAUUACUGGGCGUAAAGCGUGCGCAGGUGGUUUUGUAAGUCAGAUGUGAAAGCCCCGGGCUCAACCUGGGAACU
rnacentral:rRNA from 1 species